rnacentral:rRNA from 1 species
GCAAGUCGAGCGGAUGAGAAGAGCUUGCUCUUCGAUUCAGCGGCGGACGGGUGAGUAAUGCCUAGGAAUCUGCCUGGUAGUGGGGGACAACGUUUCGAAAGGAACGCUAAUACCGCAUACGUCCUACGGGAGAAAGCAGGGGACCUUCGGGCCUUGCGCUAUCAGAUGAGCCUAGGUCGGAUUAGCUAGUUGGUGGGGUAAAGGCUCACCAAGGCGACGAUCCGUAACUGGUCUGAGAGGAUGAUCAGUCACACUGGAACUGAGACACGGUCCAGACUCCUACGGGAGGCAGCAGUGGGGAAUAUUGGACAAUGGGCGAAAGCCUGAUCCAGCCAUGCCGCGUGUGUGAAGAAGGUCUUCGGAUUGUAAAGCACUUUAAGUUGGGAGGAAGGGCAUUAACCUAAUACGUUAGUGUUUUGACGUUACCGACAGAAUAAGCACCGGCUAACUCUGUGCCAGCAGCCGCGGUAAUACAGAGGGUGCAAGCGUUAAUCGGAAUUACUGGGCGUAAAGCGCGCGUAGGUGGUUUGUUAAGUUGGAUGUGAAAUCCCCGGGCUCAACCUGGGAACUGCAUCCAAAACUGGCAAGCUAGAGUAGGGCAGAGGGUGGUGGAAUUUCCUGUGUAGCGGUGAAAUGCGUAUAUAUAGGAAGGAACACCAGUGGCGAAAGCGACCACCUGGGCUCAUACUGACACUGAGGUGCGAAAGCGUGGGGAGCAAACAGGAUUAGAUACCCU